UACGUAGGGUGCAAGCGUUAAUCGGAAUUACUGGGCGUAAAGCGUGCGCAGGCGGUUUUGUAAGUCUGUCGUGAAAGCCCCGGGCUCAACCUGGGAAUUGCGUUGGAGACUGCAAGGCUAGAAUCUGGCAGAGGGGGGUAGAAUUCCACGUGUAGCAGUGAAAUGCGUAGAGAUGUGGAGGAACACCGAUGGCGAAGGCAGCCCCCUGGGUCAAGAUUGACGC
rnacentral:rRNA from 1 species